rnacentral:rRNA from 1 species
CCCUUAGACGUUCUGGGCCGCACGCGCGCUACACUGACGAAGGCAACGAGCUUUCCUUUACCGAAAGGUACGGGUAAUCUUUUGAAACUUCGUCGUGCUGGGGAUAGAUCCUUGCAAUUAUUGAUCUUAAACGAGGAAUUCCUAGUAAGCGCAAGUCAUCAACUUGCGUUGAUUACGUCCCUGCCCUUUGUCCACACCGCCCGUCGCUACUACCGAUUGAAUGGUUUAGUGAGGCCUUCGGAUCCGCGACUCGUUUUGUGGAGAAGUUGGACAAACUCAGUCAUUUAGAGGAAGUAAAAGUCGUAACA